CACGUAGGGUGCGAGCGUUGUCCGGAAUUAUUGGGCGUAAAGAGCUCGUAGGCGGCUCGGUAAGUCGGGUGUGAAACCUCCAGGCUCAACCUGGAGACGCCACCUGACACUGCUGUGGCUAGAGUCCGGUAGGGGAGUGUGGAACUCCUGGUGUAGCGGUGAAAUGCGCAGAUAUCAGGAAGAACACCAGCGGCGAAGGCGGCACUCUGGGCCGGAACUGACGCUGAGGAGCGAAAGCGUGGGUAGCGAACAGG
rnacentral:rRNA from 1 species